rnacentral:misc_RNA from 1 species
CGGCAUCGCAGGCCAUAGCUGGGGCGGAUACCAGAUCGCCUAUAUGGUCACGCAAACCCGGCGUUUCCGAGCUGCCGAAGCCGGAGCACCCGUGGGCAACAUGACGAGCGCGUAUAACGGGAUUCGCUGGGGCACCGGGAUGCCGCGCCAGUUCCAAUACGAACGCGAUCAAAGCCGGAUCGGCGGCAGCUUAUGGAAGUACCCUCUGCAGUUCAUCGAGAACUCGCCCGUGUUUCACAUCGAGGGUGUCCGCACUCCGAUGCUGAUUCUGCACAACGAUCAGGAUGAUGCCGUGCCCUGGUAUCAAGGGAUCGAGCUGUACUUAUCGCUGCGCCGGCAUGGCAAGGAAGCCUACCUAUUCAAUUACAACGGCGAGAAGCACGGGUUGCGCAAGCGCAUCAAUCAACGCGAUUACGCGAUUCGUAUGCAGCAGUUCUUUGACCAUCACCUAAAGGGCGCACCCGCGCCCGAAUGGAUGCAGAAGGGCAUACCGUAUCUCGAUCGCGAGGCCGAGAAGCAGCGGUUCCAAAAGGCUCAGUC